rnacentral:rRNA from 1 species
GACGAACGCUGGCGGCGUGCCUAAUACAUGCAAGUCGAACGAACCGCGACUAGGUGCUUGCACUUGGUCAAGGUGAGUGGCGAACGGGUGAGUAACACGUGGGUAACCUACCUCAUAGUGGGGGAUAACAGUCGGAAACGACUGCUAAUACCGCAUAGGACAUAGGAUCACAUGAUCCAGUGAGGAAAGGUGGCGCAAGCUAUCGCUAAGAGAUGGACCCGCGGUGCAUUAGCUAGUUGGUAGGGUAAAGGCCUACCAAGGCGAUGAUGCAUAGCCGACCUGAGAGGGUGAUCGGCCACAUUGGGACUGAGACACGGCCCAAACUCCUACGGGAGGCAGCAGUAGGGAAUCUUCCGCAAUGGACGCAAGUCUGACGGAGCAACGCCGCGUGAGUGAAGAAGGUCUUCGGAUCGUAAAGCUCUGUUGUUAGAGAAGAACAGCGCAUAGAGUAACUGUUAUGCGUGUGACGGUAUCUAACCAGA